GGGGUCGCUCAUGUUCAUUUCCACCAGUCCAGUCGUUUUCCUCUCUGCCAGGCAGUGCUCCAGCCUCCAGGCGGCGGCGAGUUUGAGAGUGAGAAGGGAGGAGAGAGGCCCCAACGAAGAUGGUGUGCCUACUCUACCAUUGAUAUUGCGAGAAUGACGACCAGCAGAGCUUUGGCAUAUUCAUCCGCGGCGGCUCUGAAGAUUUAGCGAACAUCCCAUGCAACUCGAGGGGUUUGACUUGGUGUUAGUAGAGCAUCCCAUGCAACGACCCCGGGUUCGACUCGAGGACGCGCGGGGGGGGGGGGGGG